UAUGAGCUGCAAUGUAGAUAUUUUAGAGAAGGUGACAUAUUUGAUAAGGUUCCCUUUACAGACAGAUAGGAAGACCGAACAGGUACACACGAGCAAGAAGCUGCAAUUUUAGAACACAAGAGAGCAAACCUUUUUAACAAUAUCACAACAUCUAUAAAAAAAAGACACUGGAGCUCUCUAAUAUCCUGAUUUCCUCCCUUCUGAAAACAUUUUUCAGUGCUUACUAAAAAACAAUAUACAUAAGAUAUUCUAAAGUUACAAGACAAGUAUUUCUAAAGUUACUAUAUUACUUCAAAGAAUUUGUUUGGUUCAACAUGAGAGUAAAACCAAUAGUAUACGAAAUUCCACAGCAAUGCACAAGCACAAACUCUAAUUCUACAAUAAGAUAAUCACUGUUGGCCAAAUCCUUUAUUUUAGUUGGGGUUUCCCCCUUGUCAUAUUUAAUACUAAUCACCAAAAGUACAGGAGAAUAUUUAUUACAGGUUUUCUCUCCAGCUUCAACUGCCAAAUAAAAGAAACGAAGUUUCACAAGCUAAGUCUGCCUUAGUUGCACAGCGUACAAACAAGAUCAGCUAUGGAGACAGCUACAGAACUAGCUCUUUAAGUUUCAAAAGGGACUGAAUCAAAAAGGAAAAAUUCUUCAGGACUUUCAAAGACACACUUAAUAAUCUGUUCAAAAACUUUUAGUUUCACAGCCUCCUGGAGUGGUGUUCAGUCUUACAGAACAACCAGGUCUCUAAUUUUUCAAAUCUGUAACAGAUUGCUCUUACUGAUGAGUCAUGCUUCUUACUUUUGUAUUUGAGUUCUCCUGGUAUGUGGAACUAUAGACAUUGAAAUUCCUCUCUCCGAAGACAGAGCGCUGGACAGAAGGGUGCGCAGAAUCCUCCUGCAAUACCAACACAAAGGACAAUAAGGAUCCUGUCCAACACAGUCAGCUGGACACUGACAGUUCAGAAAAGUGUGAAGUGACAUAAAACAAGAACAGCUGCACGUGUUAAAAGAAAUAUUCCCAGCAGCUCCUUUCUGGGGUUCCUCUAGUUCUACAGCUCUGAACCACCAGCCAACAGACUCGACCCUUGCAGGAUUCCCAUGGGCAGAGGCACAACUGCAGCAGUGAAGACAGACAAGUCUAACAAUGCUGAAGCCUUGCCAGACUUCAAACAACACUACGGGAAUUUAUUUCAGUCUUCAAACAGAGAUACAUCACAGAACUUCUCAGAUGGAAAAUACAACACCAUCCACAAACUGAGACUAGCAGAAACAGGCAUCUGUUACAGAAUGACUGCAGAGCAGUUGAAGGCACAGCUUCUGCAUGAGACACCCCUCUGUUGGCUUGGGUAAGCAGAAACCCCUUCGUUGGUGGGGCAGAGAAAGCUCCAUCUGCUCAUUCAACAGCGAUCUUCUCGUUCUAACAAUGGACCCAGGUAGGAACUUCUCAGAAGGAAAGAGAACAAACUGCAGCAACUGAAUAUGACAAACAAAGCAGCACAUCUAAUGCUCUGCAAGACAAGCUGCUGCACUGUCUUCUCCUGUGGCUUUACCUCUAGGUUGGAUCUGAAGGAUGAGAAGUCAGAAGACAAGCCAGGCCCAUGCAGAACAUUCCUUACGGCUGACAAAGCCCAGCUCUGGGAGCUCGCCGAGAAGGAAUACGAACAUUGCUGUGCGAUUGCAUCCACCCCUGACAGAAUCCGUAGCUGAAUCCAACUUCUUGUAUCUGCUAACAGAUGUAGAAGAACCCAUGCUGACACUAGAGCACGUCUACUAAUCUCUUCCCGGGUCAAUUAAAGUAGUAGGAGUCUCCCUGCAUUUGUACUGUCCUCCAGCCUUGGAAAAAGAGAUAAGCAAGAUCCAGGAAGAUAGUUGAUGAAUGUAUCCAGCACAAACAGAGGUAGGAGAUCCUUACAUCCCCCUGCUGUCAAGAUCAUCUGCUCAUAAAUUAGAGACUUAUAAUUAGAAAUCAGAAACAACUUAGAAAAGAGCAAAUAAGAGAGGCAUGUUCCCUAGCAGUAAUAAAUGUAUAUACAUAUACACAUACAUACUAAAUUCAGUUUUAACUAUCAUAUAGACUGUUAAAUGUAUUACUCAGUUUUCAUUAGCCUAAAUGCCACAUGCUUUCCAACUUGUAAUUCCUCUUCUUGUUAGGCAAUGUGAUUCUAUGGCAAAACUUUCUCUCUUUAGCACUAGAUUGAGACAAAUCUCUUCAUGCUAUUGUGCCCUUUAGGAAUACUGUCAAAUUCAAUCAUUCAGGACUCAGGAGUCUUGCACUAACAUGAAGAGAUUGAUUUGAAAACCAUGGGACUACAGUCCUUUUUUCUGUUUUUCAUUUUCCAUUUCUGUACCUUAACCAUUUUACAGGAAAGCUGAGAUUGCCAGCUUUGCUCUCACAUGCAAAUGAGCCUUUCCCAAUGCUGCGCAGCCCCAGAACAAUGACUCAAACGUGUCAGUGUCUGUGUCUGCCAGUAUCUUCUAUCGGUUAUAUCUGAAAUUUCAAGAAUUAUUGCAGUGUCAGAAAAUAUGCCAGCCUCUACAGCCUAUUUAAAGGGAGCUAAAAAUAGAUAUAAAAAUGACCUCAGGCAAAGAUGCAGAGGAAUUCUUGACCUUUUAUAAACGGUGUCUUGUUCAAACAAAGUAUGUUUUAAUAAAAUCAUUAGAAGACAUAUACCUAAGAAUAAGAAAUGUAGGCUUUCCUACAGAAUGGAAAAGUUUGAAAAGGACUGAUGGGUCAACUGAUGAGUUUACUGUAGCAAAAAAGGGUCAGUGCAAACCUUGACUUAGAGUGCACAUUAAUGCUGGCAGUUUUUACCUCUAUGUGCAAAUGGCAAAGAGUGAUUACGGCACAGUGUGCACAGUUCUGAUGCUCAUGUUGCAAGAUGGACACCAAAAAAACACGAGCAUAGAGAAGAGCUACAAAAUAAUCUGAAGCCAGAGGAAAUUACCUGAUUGAAGAACUAGAAAUUCUAAGUUAUCCACUGGAUAAAAAAGAUUGAAGGGUGAGUUGAUAACACUUUAUAAAUAUAUGCAUAGGAAAAAAUAUCAAAUAUAAGGGUCACUUGAACCUACCGAAGAGUGAAAUAAGGAGAAAUAAUGCCUAGUAGCUGGGAUCAAGUAAAUUAGUGUAGUCUUCUGUACCUAAUUCAGUACCACUGACAAUAAAUAAUCCUUGGAACAAACAGUUAAGGGCUGUGGUUGAUUCCUUGGCUCUUGAUGUCUCCAGAUUGAGACUCAAUGCCUUCGUACAGGCUGGCCAGAAACAAGCUAUGUUGUGUUUGAGAGCAGCAAGCUCAGUUCAGGGUUAAAUACAGUUGCCUGUAAUGUUCAGGAGAUCAGACUAUAUACAUCCAUAGUCCCUCUUUUCAAGACUUCAUAAAUAAAUUUCUAUACUUUAUAAACUCUCCAAAAUCCCUAUAAAUAAUUACCUUCCUCUAAGCACCCCAGAUCUGGUUUUCCUUUCCCUGUACGCCUGUUCCAUGUGUGACUGACUCUCCUGUCCCACUUGUGCAGCGCUGUGGCCAGAAAAACAUCUGUGGCAGGUACUGGUGACAAGACAGAACCCAGCUGGUAUGCCAGGCUGCUCCACAGCUCAGGAGCAGUUUCUGAAGCCGUGUUCCCGGCCCGUGAUAUAUUUGCCCCCAGGAGAAUGCACUUCAUCCCACUCAGCUCUCUCUUACCCAAAUCCAGUCCUUCCACACUCAAACACUGCCGGCUGCUGAGGGCUCGGCUCAGCAGAGGAUUGAGACUACAGCCAAAAGCAAAGUGAGAUAGCUGGUCUGGGGUUGUGCUUCACAGACUUUCUCAGCCUUUAGACAAAAUUAAAAUAGAUAAAAUCAAAGCUUUCCUCACCAGCAAUGACCCAUUUAAAAUAAUUCAAAUGUUCUUAUAUAUGCUAUAGCUUUUGGGAUUGUUUGGAACCUAAAAGGAAUACUGGGCUUGGCCAAACUGGUACCCACAUAACCAAGGGGAAAACUGGCAUCUUAUGGGUAUCAGCCGAGUGCUUUCCCUUUCCCCAUGCUGUAUAUUGUAUUUACUUGGAGCAUCUGUUUGAAUGUAGAAUUACAAUUGUCUUUGUUGUUCUCUAUAUUUUACCCACAUACGAGGCUUUUCUCAUGGUUAAAUAAGAGAUUCUGUUCUCCUAAUAGAUAUGCAGAUAACACUGUGCUUUUGCUCCACUAUCUGACACAAGGCUGAAUCUGGUAACCUCACUCACUGAAUAAUUGUGUUGUCACUGGGAAUACUCACACAUGUAAAAUGAGCAGGACUUGGCCCUUUGGUCGUAUUUUUGUAAUAAAAGAUAAAAUGAGAUUUUUAGGAAACUGCAACUUAUGACCAUAAUAUUUAUGAGGCUGUCAGAACCGCACUGUAAAAAUUCAUAUUAUUUAAUUCUUCACUCUGACACUAAAGCAUCGUUUCAUUUAUAUGCAAAUAAGAAUAUACUCUACUGCUGUUUCUUCACUGAAGAAGCUGUUUGAAUUAUUCACAUUUUAUUAAUAAAGUUUCAUAAAUAAG